rnacentral:rRNA from 1 species
UACAGAGGUCCCGAGCGUUGUUCGGAUUCAUUGGGCGUAAAGGGUGCGUAGGCGGCGCGGUAAGUCGGGUGUGAAAUCUCGGAGCUUAACUCCGAAACUGCAUUCGAUACUGCCGUGCUUGAGGACUGGAGAGGAGACUGGAAUUCCUGGUGUAGCGGUGAAAUGCGCAGAUAUCAGGAAGAACACCUAUGGCGAAGGCAGCUCUCUGGGACGGUACUGGACGCUGAGACGCGAAAGCGUGGGGAGCGAACAGG